rnacentral:lncRNA from 9 species
UUUUUUUUUUCCAUUUCUGUUGUUCUUGAUGCAAUGUCAGUUUAAUUGUCAUUCUUGUCAGUAAUUUGGGACCAUUUAAAAUUCAUAUUCACCUUGGGCUUUUGGGUCAUAUAAUUACUAUGAAUUACAGCUUAAAAUUUGUAUGGGGAAUGUCCACGUUUAUGUGGUCAAGCAGUGUCCAUGAAGAGAGUUUAUUUAGUUUAUUUGUCCCUAUCUAUCUAUCUGUCUAUCUAUCUUUCAAUUUUACCUGGAGCCGAAACUGAGGUAAAUAUAUUAAGUUUUCCUUUAAGUUUUUACCAGCUUUUUGCUCACUGAUUUCCACUGGGAAUGCCAAUUUUUGAUUGUUUUGGUUUCCAACCUAGCCCAUAGGAUUGACUUCUGUGCACACAGACCUUCAAAACCUAUCUUCUCAACCACAAGGGGUUUUCAGAUAUCCCUGUAAUAAACAUUGGCUCUAGCACCUAUUUAUCUUUCCAGAUUUAUGAUUCCUUACAGCUCUGGUCUCUGGUGAUUUCCCUAACUUUCCCAAAAGCUCAGUCAUGCUUUUAAAGAGACAAUGUUUACACUUUAUCAAGCAUUUCAGACACCCUAUACAGGGAAUGUUUCUUCAGAUACAAAUUCAAAUGGGGUGUAGGAAGCAGAAAACUCAGACAUUUUCAAACUCUUCUUCGUAUCCUUAAAUACGCCUUCAAACUCUUAACAUCCUUCAAAUUUUUAUCCAUUAAAGAACUGAAAAACUUCCUUGUUAGUUAUGGGACCACAGGCAUCUUGUUUCAUCCAAUCAUCUCAAUUCAAUACCAAGUCAAUCUCCCAACUGCUAGUCUUCCUAAUCUUUACAACCACUUAUCUUGUUUGCUCUUACAUUUACUUCUGAAUCAUUCUACUUUCUUUCCCCUUGGAUAUUAUUUUCCUGUGUUUCCUGGUGAUUUUGAGUGUGAUUACUGGAGCCAUCAAAUGAAGAUCAAUCUAUUCCCCUAAAAUAGCCUUGGCUUGGCAUAAGAAAAAUGUAUCAAAAAAUGUAAACCUAGCAGAUUUCUUCCUGAAGUCUACCUGGAAGAAGAUAAAGCACAAAUUCUUGGACUAUGAUAGGAAAUGGGCCUGUAUUACUUUUGUUUCUGGGAAAUUCCCAUCAUGGCUCAGCGAUAACGAGCCCAACCAGUAUCCAUGAGGAUGUGGGUUUGAUCCCUGGCCUUGCUCAGUGGGUUAAGGAUCCGGCAUUGCCGUGAGCUGUGGUUUGGUUUGCAGACGCAGCUCAUAUCCCGUGUUGCUGUGGCUGUGGUAUAGGCCAGCUGCUGUAGCUCUGAUUUGACUCCUAACCAGGGAACUUCCACAUGCUGCAGGUGCGGCCAUAAAAAAACAAACACAAAAAAACCCUUUUGUUUCUGUAUCUUUUUGAAAUGGCACCACUUUUAUAGAAUGCUCUCUCCUCCUUUCCCUCAGGCCUUAAUUCUGCCACUUCUUGGGACUGGCCAAGUGGUGACAAAAAAGUAAUAAUGUAGAAGACAAACAGAGCACUAAGCUUCCAAGAGGAAUAGAGCGGUGUCAGAUAAGCAGUACCUGAGGACAUAUCCGAAUACACAUGCAUGGGCAGAGCUAUAUAAAACAUGGGCUGGACAAGCAUAGCAUAAGCUCUACAAAGCAGAGAGUUUUGAUGGUUUUAUUUCUAGUUCCUGGCAUGUAGUAGGUAUUCAAUAAAUGUUUGUUGAAGGAAUUAAAAAAAUGAUACUCAAUUGGAACUUAGAUUAUUAUUAUGCUUGUUUUAAUAAUAACAGUACAACAUCAUAGUCAAAAUUAAUCACUUAAGGUAGAUUCACUUUUAAAGUUUAUUUUGUACAAAGAACUUCAGGAAAUUCAUAAUGUAUUAUAUCCUUAGUUUUUUUGUUUGCUAGUUUUUUUUAUCAUCACCCAUGCCUGAAGUGAGCACAGUCACUGAGGCUGUGCUACCUGAAACAGACAUUAAUAUUUAUGUGGUAGCAGCUACCAGAAGAGCAGACAUAGUGCCCCAGGGGAAUAAUUCACUUCCUUCGGAUCAGCCUUGCUGCUCAGAUCCUCAUCAGAGCUGAGGAAAUGCCCCAGAAUAUCUCAUUUGUUUAUUGCCACUCAAAACCUCUCACACUUUCCCUCUUUCCUUCACUUCUAUUUUUUCGAUUAUUUUUGCCAGGGUUGCUAUCACUCUAACCUUUAGGUAAGGCAGGUGCUAAUGAAUGUAUUAUUUUUUUAAUCAGCUGAAGAGGUUGUCACAAUCUCAGUGUACAUAUAACUUCCUUUACUUAGAUGUUUUUAGAAAGUGGGCUAUAAUGGUACAUUGUUAAGUUUAUGAUGGCCGAAUAAAAACACAGGUUUUAAGUGCAUUGGGGGGUUACUUUGUUAAAAAAAAAAUCCCACAUUGAAUUUUGAUAAACUUUAAAAGUUACCUACAGAAUUAUUUAGAACAGGGAGAAUAAUCACCCUUUACUUUUAAAAAUUUGGAUUUUCAUGGACAUGUCUGUAAAAUAAACUAAGGAGCUUUCAUUUGUGUUUAAAGGGAUAGCAUUCCUAUGUGUGUCAUUUAAACUUGUUAAACGAUAUUUUCAAAAGAAGCCCUAAAAAUCCUGGAUUCCUACCCUGGUUC